rnacentral:tRNA from 2 species
UCCGCCUUGGUGUAACGGCAGCACGACGGCCUUUGGUGCCGUGAGGUCCGGGUUCGAAUCCUGGAGGCGGAG